UUCUCAAACCUGGACCCUUUGAUA
rnacentral:piRNA from 1 species